ACUGGGGUGAAGUCGUAACAAGGUAGCCGUAGGAGAACCUGCGGCUGGAUCACCUCCUUUCUAAGGAAGC
rnacentral:rRNA from 1 species